AUUGAACGCUGGCGGAAUGCUUUACACAUGCAAGUCGAACGGCAGCACGGACUUCGGUCUGGUGGCGAGUGGCGAACGGGUGAGUAAUGUAUCGGAACGUGCCCAGUCGUGGGGGAUAACGUAGUGAAAAUUACGCUAAUACCGCAUAUGAUCUAUGGAUGAAAGCGGGGGAUCGCAAGACCUCGCGCGAUUGGAGCGGCCGAUAUCAGAUUAGGUAGUUGGUGGGGUAAAGGCCCACCAAGCCAACGAUCUGUAGCUGGUCUGAGAGGACGACCAGCCACACUGGAACUGAGACACGGUCCAGACUCCUACGGGAGGCAGCAGUGGGGAAUGUUGGACAAUGGGCGAAAGCCUGAUCCAGCCAUUCCGCGUGCAGGAUGAAGGCCCUCGGGUUGUAAACUGCUUUUGUACAGAACGAAAAGGUUUCUACUAAUACUAGGAGCUCAUGACGGUACUGUAAGAAUAAGCACCGGCUAACUACGUGCCAGCCGCCGAGUAA
rnacentral:rRNA from 1 species